AGAGUUUGAUCCUGGCUCAGGACGAACGCUGGCGGCAGGCCUAACACAUGCAAGUCGAACGAGAAGCCAUCCUUCGGGAUGGUGGGCAGUGGCGAACGGGUGAGUAACGCGUGGGAACCUGCCCUUCGGUACGGGACAACCGCGGGAAACUGCGGCUAAUACCGUAUAUUCCCCAUGGGGGAAAGAUUUAUCGCCGAAGGAUGGGCCCGCGUCCGAUUAGUAGUUGGUGAGGUAAUGGCUCACCAAGACUUCGAUCGGUAGCUGUUCUGAGAGGAUGAUCAGCCACACUGGGACUGAGAUACGGCCCAGACUCCUACGGGAGGCAGCAGUGGGGAAUAUUGGACAAUGGGAGCAACCCUGAUCCAGCCAUGCCGCGUGAGUGAAAGAAGGCCCUAGGGUUGUAAAGCUCUUUCAGCGAGGAAGAUAAUGACGGUACUCGCAAAAGAAGCCCCGGCUAACUUCGUGCCAGCAGCCGCGGAAUACGGAGGGGGCUAGCGUUGUUCGGAAUUACUGGGCGUAAAGCGUGCGUAGGCGGUUUGCUAAGUUGGGCGUGAAAGCCCGGGGCUCAACCCCGGAACUGCGUUCAAUACUGGCAGACUAGAGGCCGGAAGAGGAGGGCGGAAUUCCCAGUGUAGAGGUGAAAUUCGUAGAUAUUGGGAAGAACACCAGUGGCGAAGGCGGCUCUCUGGUCCGGUUCUGACGCUGAGGCACGAAAGCGUGGGGAGCGAACAGGAUUGAUACCCUGGUAGUCCACGCCGUAAACGAUGAGUGCUAGACGUCGGGGGGCUUGCCCUUCGGUGUCGCAGCUAACGCAUUAAGCACUCCGCCUGGGGACUACGGCCGCAAGGCUAAAACUCAAAGGAAUUGACGGGGGCUCACACAAGCGGUGGAGCAUGUGGAUUAAUUCGAAGCAACGCGCAGAACCUUACCUGGGUUUGACAUGCACGGAUGCUCUCUUGGAAACAGGAGUAGGCUGCCUUCGGGUGAAACGCGCCAGGUGCUGCAUGGCUGUCGUCAGCUCGUGCUGUGAAGUGUCGGGUUAAGUCCCUUAACGAGCGAAACCCCUAUCGCUAGUUGCCAUCGGUUCGGCCGGGGACUCUAGGGGGACCGCCGGUGAUAAGCCGGAGGAAGGUGGGGACGACGUCAAGUCCUCAUGGCCCUUAUGCCCAGGGCUACACACGUGCUACAAUGGCCGGUACAAAGGGUCGCCAACCCGCGAGGGGGAGCCAAUCCCAAAAAGCCGGUCUCAGUUGGAUUGGAGUCUGCAACUCGACUCCAUGAAGUCGGAAUCGCUAGUAAUCGCGCAUCAGCACGGCGUGGUGAAUACGUUCCCGGGCCUUGUACACACCGCCCGUCACACCACGAAAGCUGAUUGUACCGGAAGUCGCUGAGCUAACCCCCACUUCGGUGGAGGAGGCAGGCGCCCAUGGUAUGAUUGGUGAUUGGGGUGAAGUCGUAACAAGGUAACC
rnacentral:rRNA from 2 species